CUUCCAUCAUAUGUGAAUAGAAUCCACUCUUACUUUUCAAAGGUGGCUUAGUCAAUAAUGCGAAGUAUUUGAUACGUUCGUUGACUAUCUUGGGCACGGGAGGAAUAGUUCCCUUCAAGAAUGGUUCCCUUCGAAUGCUGCUAAAAAUCAUGGUGGCUAUAAAGUAGGAGCGGUGGAUAGGAGAAGAGCAUAACCUCUUAGUCACAUAGAUUUCCGAGAUGAAGGCCUUUCUUAUCGCAUGCAUUCUCUUAGCUACCAUCGUCUUCUCUCCCCUAUCCACUUGCACUGCUCGAGAAUUGGCCGAGCGAGCUAUACCCAGCCCAGGUCUUAACCCAGGCAAAGUUCCAUUCAAUUGCGGUAGGGGUAAGCGAUAUUGCGUACCUAGCCAACCACCAAAACGUUGCCCUCCUUACAAGCGUAAUUGUUAGAAGCAAGCAAAGUUGAGUACUGCUUAAAAGUAUGGAGAGCUUCUGCUGUCUUUAUCAAUAUGUAAAAUGACGAGAACUAUUUAUGUGAGAAAAAUAAGUAGAGUUCUCCAGUGGAUUAGAAGAAGCAAGCAAAGUUGUGAAGUAUGGGAAGUAUUUAUGUGAGAAAAAUAAAUGAAGUUCUUAGUGAGUUUCAUGGUA